UACAGAGGCCCCAAGCGUUACUGAGAAUCACUGGGUUUAAAGGGUGCGUAGGUGGUCCGUUAAGUCUGUUGUGAAAGCCCUUGGCUCAACCAAGGAAUUGCUUCGGAUACUGGCGGACUUGAGGCUAGUAGAGGUCACUGGAACUGACGGUGGAGCGGUGAAAUGCGUAGAUAUCGUCAGGAACGCCGGUGGUGAAGACGGGUGACUGGGCUAGUUCUGACACUGAGGCGCAAAAGCGUGGGGAGCGAACGGG
rnacentral:rRNA from 1 species